AAAAUUUAUUUUUACUUAACAAAUGACCUCCUAAGGCAAAUUUUUUUAUUUUAUUAGAAAUCGAAUUUUUAAAUUUUCUAAAUCAUUGCAUAAUUACAUUAUUUAAGAAAUAUGGAAUUUUACAUAUAUAUGUAUAUAUAUGUAUAUGUAUACAAUAUAUACAUACGUAUAUGUAUGUAUGUAUUUAGCUCAUAUUGCUUUUUAUCGAUUAGGUAACACCAUACUAAACUACUACAUAAGAUGUACUAAAAUUUAAGUUUGUUUUCAUACAAAUUAAUUUGCUUGUUUUUUAGUUUUUCCAUUUUUUUGUUUUAAUUUGUUUUGUUUUUGUCUUUACCAAAUUUACAAAAUUUUAUAAUAUCAAAUUAGCAUAAAUGUAGUAAUGUAAGUAUGUAUGUAUAUUUAUUUAAUAUAAUAUGCUAUAAGUACUUAAGUAUAAUGUUUUGGUCGUAAUUGCUACAAAUUUAAUUGGCGACUACUAAAUUUAAUGCCUUAAACAAACCUAAAACGCAGGAAAAUCAAAAGGAAUCACAAAACAUUUGAUCGCAAAACUAUUUAUACAUAGAGAAUACACAAAUAUUUAUAUAAAAAAAAUUUAAAGAAAGUAUUUAAAAUUUGUGGAACGCAGUAAAAAUGCAAACAGCGGUGAAGUGAUGCGUAUGCAUUCACUUAUAUACACUCUAUAUGUAUGUGUGGUAUAUACGAACAACAUGCGCUGUUGUUCUUGCUGUUGUUACGUAGCAGACGUGACAUUGUUGUUAUUAUGCGUUUAUACACAUUUUACUAAAAAUUUUCAUUAACAAGCUAAUUGUAUGUUAGAUGCGCCUUGCAAGGAAAAUACAAUAAAUAUUAGGUUGUGUAGGUAAUUGACUUUUCACUUAACUAACACAGUUGUUUUUGUUAUUAUUUGUAAUAAUAUUAUAAAACUAGUUUGUUAUCGUAAUCCAUAGAAAUCACAUAUUUAGAAGCUACAACAAAAUAUUUAAAUAUUUUUCCAAUAACUAUAACAUGCACCAACGGUUUAUUUGUUUUUGUGUUUUUGUUGGUUUAUUUUUUUGCUGUUUUUGUCAAAAAUACCAACAAAUAAAUUAAAUAUACGAAAUAAUAAAUAAUUUGCUGCUGAACGCAAGAAAAACGUUUGUUCCAACAAGGCCACCAGAUUUGACAUUUGACACAAAGCAAAACUAUUUUUCAGAAUUUCGCACAAAACAGCAAAAAAAAAAUUCCUACGUGUAUAAAUUGCUUUAAUCAGCGCUUUAACCAGCCAAUAUUUGUGUGCCAACAACAAUUAUUAUUUGCGGUAAUUAAACUUUUUUGUUUUUUAAAUAUUUUACAUUUUAUAUUUUUUUAAUUUUUAAUUUUGUUUUUGUGUUUUGUUUUUGUUUCUUUGACUACUUACCAACGACAAAACAAAUUUGCUGUCAAGCAGUUGCUGCUUACUGACGCAUAUGCUUUAUUUCUAAUAUAGCUGUUGGUUAGCUGGGCGAUUGGCUGGGUGGCAAGGUUGGCUUGUUGGCGGUUGGUAGGUCGCUAGCGUUUGUCAUUACACAUUCUUUUUGUGGCGAUGACCGUACAUUGAUUGGCAGCAUUCGUUCUUUUUGAUACAAUGUGGUAUAAAGCGAAGGAGCCGCAAAUUAUUUUGUGAGCAAAUAUUUUUCGCAAACGAAUAGGCUGCGAGGCGCAUUUUAUUUCGAUUUUCUCAAUUUAUUUUCAUUUUAUUGCGUGCAUUAUUGGCGUGCAAAUUAUAGUUGAGGCGGUUUGAAAAUUGUUUGACGUGCAGUUUGCUUGCCUUGCCAUUGCAGCGGACAAAAGUGCAUGCGCUUUAGUUGUUAUUUGUUUUUGUUGUUGCUAUCGUUUAUAGUGCAAUUUGUCGGUCGGUCAAGUCAGUUGCCGCGUUAUUGGUGCUGCUCAUAGUUAAAUUAAGGGUGCUUGAAGGCAUUUUCUCGUUCAGCCUCACAUGACAGUUGUGACAUAAAAAAUGCAUUAUAAGUGAAUGUGGCACACCCAUAAAUGUGAAAUUUCAAAAAAAACAAAAUUUUUGGGUUCGUGCACUCGCUUAUGCGUCUACUUAAAUGCAUUUAUACAAGCUACAAAUUUAGCUUAGUGUUCUAUAAAAUUAGGCUACCAACCGCAAGCUGCUUUUAGUUCGGAUCGUUCAUGGGAUGAUGAUGUGAUACGCAAGAGUUGCAACGAAAAAUAGGCGUAUUUAUGUAUAUACCUACUCAUGCGUGGCUAGGAGCUUACAUAAUUUAGGCAGGCGAUUCAAAGAAAACAAUAUUUAAGUUAACUAAUUGCAACAGCAGCAAAUGUGUAUAUUUAUUAUGACUUCUUUUCGUUAUAUCACUUUUCCGCUAGUGUUGCCAAAUGAAAAAAAUGUAUAUUUUAUUUAUUCAAAUAAAAGUAUAGAAGUAAUUGUGAUGUUGAUAGCAUUUGGCAGCGGUUUAUGAGAUUUUAACAAAAAUUAUGCAAAUACAUAAUUAAUUAACAUAAACGUAUAAAAAAUAUUUUAAUAAAAAAUAUUAAAAAAAAAAUAUAUAAAUACAAAAAUAAUAAAAUUAAAAUAUACAUAUAUAUAUUAAUAUAAAAAGCAAUAAAAUUAAAAGAAAAAUAUCAAAGUUGUAAAAAAAACAUUAAAAAUAAAAAAACAACGGACCGGCAUCAUGUUGUUGUGGCAGCAGCGAA